CAUAUUAAAGUUUAUUAUGAAUUUUUCCGUUACAUCGAAAAGGGCUCAUCUAUUGAGUAAUAUGAAAA
rnacentral:tRNA from 1 species